rnacentral:rRNA from 1 species
UACGUAGGGGGCAAGCGUUGUCCGGAAUCAUUGGGCGUAAAGCGCGUGUAGGCGGCCUUGUAAGUCCGUUCUGAAAGCCCGGGGCUCAACCCCGGGAGGCGGAUGGAUACUGCAGGGCUCGAGUACGGAAGAGGCGAGUGGAAUUCCCGGUGUAGAGGUGAAAUUCGUAGAUAUCGGGAGGAACACCGGUGGCGAAGGCGGCGAUCUGGGUCGAUACUGACGCUGAGGUGCGAAAGCGUGGGGAGCAAACAGG